GGGCUGCCCGGGGAGGAGGGCCCGUUGAGAGGAGGCGACCACGCGGCAGUGGUAGCAACGGAGAAGCCGGCGGCGUGUGCGGCCCAGCGUGGCCGGGAGGGUUCCUUCCCCCGUGCGUGUCACAGCUGUCACGCACCGCCCGUUAGUGUAACCCGCCCCGCGCCCGUGAGCAGCAUGAGAGUAGUGGCGUUAAUCAGUGGUGGGAAGGACAGCUGUUAUAAUAUGAUGCAGUGUGUUGCUGCUGGCCAUCAGGUUGUUGCUUUAGCCAAUUUAAGACCUGCUGAAAACACAGGGUUGACUGAUGAAUUGGACAGCUAUAUGUAUCAGACAGUAGGACACCAUGCCAUUGACCUGUAUGCUGAGGCAUUGGAUUUGCCACUCUAUCGUGGUUUCAUAAAGGGUACCAGUGUAAAUACUGGAAGAGUGUAUACCACAUGUCAGGAAGAUGAGGUUGAAGACCUUUACGACCUUUUGAAACUUGUUAAGGAUAAAGAAGGAGUGGAGGCUGUAUCUGUGGGAGCCAUUCUUUCUGACUACCAGAGAGAUCGAGUUGAAGAUGUAUGCAGGAGGCUUAAUCUUCAGCCUUUAGCUUACCUUUGGCGUCAGAACCAGGAAACAUUGCUUAAAGAAAUGAUAUCAUCUAACAUUCAAGCCAUAAUCAUAAAAGUGGCAGCUUUGGGUUUAGAUCCAGAUAAACAUCUAGGAAAAUCUCUGGAUCAAAUGGAGCCUUAUCUUUUGGAGCUUUCAAAGAAAUAUGGAGUCCAUGUUUGUGGAGAAGGUGGAGAAUAUGAAACAUUCACUCUGGACUGCCCUCUGUUUAAGAAGAAAAUAGUUGUAGAUUCAGCCAGGGUGGUUGUGCAUUCGGCUGAUGCAUUUGCACCUGUGGCCUACCUUCAUUUUUUAAAAUUACACCUUGAGAAUAAGCAGGGGGAGUCUUCAGGCACAUUUAUGAUCAAUAGCUGUUCUUGUGAGGUGAGCUGCAACGAUGAGGAUAUUUUCCCUUCACCAGAAGAGGACGAACCACAGAAAAGCAUUCCAGUCAUCUGGAAGUCUUUGAAACAUAGUUCUUUGGAUUUCACACUUGCAUUUGGUGAGAAAGCUGAGACAUUUGGAAGUUCUGGAAGAUCCCUGAGUGGUUACCAGUGGUUUUCAGGUAUCACAGCCCACUUCCUUCCAUCAAAAGGCAAAAAUGCUCAAGAGGCAGCAAGGGAAGCAUUUUCUUCUCUCCAAGCUAAUAUGACUUCAGAGGGAUUGAAACUGAAGGAUAUUAUUUUGGUUCAUCUGUAUGUGAAGAGCAUGAAAGAUUUCAAUGUUAUAAAUUCAGUUUAUGUGACAGAAUUUGAUUUGUGUCCACCAGCAAGAGUAUGUGUGGAAACCCUGUUACCUGAUGGAGUACUGUUUUACAUUGACUGCCUUGCACAUAAGUGUGACGUUGCAAUGGAUGAUGUGUUACGUGAUGAAAAACUGGUCAUGCAUGUACAGAGCAUUUCCCACUGGGCACCUGCUAGCAUAGGACCUUACAGUCAGUCCGUCAAGGUUGGAGAUGUUCUCUACUGUGCUGGACAGAUUGCUCUAGUACCUUGUACGAUGCAACUUGUUAGCGGUGGCAUAUGGACUGAGACCGUAGUUUCCCUCCGUCACGUUGAGCGAGUUCUUCAAGCUAUGAGGCAGGAGAUGGCACUUCACCACAUCAUCACAGCCAGCUGCUAUGUCACUGAGAACAAGUACAUUCCAAUUGCUCGCUCUGUGUGGCAGAAGAAAUUACAAGAAUGCAGAAAGGUUGAAGAUUCAGAGACAUAUCAUCAUGUAACUGCGGUGUGUGGGUUGCUUGCUGUGGUUGUAAUAUCUCACCUACCCAGAGAUGCUGCCAUUGAAUGGCAUGUUGUUGCAGUAGUUGAUGAUCCACUCAAAAGAAAACAUUUUGCAACGAAGAUGUUGUCAGAGGGAUUCCAAAUUGAGUGUGAAUCUGUGGAGUCUAGUUCUGCAUCUUGUGCAUCAGUUUCUGUACGUCUGAGUUUGAUUUCACCAUCCGCUUCUCAGCUUGAUUUAGAUCAACCUCUUCAUGACUUAGUUGCUGUGUUUAGACAAGCUGUUGAGAAACUUUCAGAAGACUGCAGUGCAAGUCCUUUGUCUUUUAGAGCUUUCUUCAAGAAGGAUGUCUUUGAUGCUGAAACACUGCAGACAGGAAUGUUUCCCAUGUGGAAAACAAACAAACAAAACCAAACAAGACUGACUUCAAAUUUUGUAAUUUUGGAAGAAAUUUAUAAAAGCAUUGAGUAACAUAUCUUUGGCCAGUUUUCCCUGGAGCUCCUGGGCUCUUAGUAUUUUUGAAGAUCCAGCUGAUAUGUUUUCAAAAUGGAAAUACAAUUAUUCAGAGGAUGUUGCCUCCAGUUUUGUUGUAAGCAGAGGAUUUUGAAAACACAGUCCCUUAAGAGAGAAAUGACCAAUAUGACCAACAUGAAGUGAUAUCAAGAAUAGUAAAGGAAACCAUGAGGACUGCAAGAAUACCUUGAAAAAUAUUUGGGCAAGAAGACCCCAGCUCUGAUUUUAGUACCUGUGGUGGAUUUACCUGGCAAAGAGCUUAUUCAUAUAACAUGCUGGCUAAGCUAGCAGUUUAAAAGAGAUGAGUUGAUAUCAAAACACACAUUCCAUCCAGGAGAAAAAAAAAAAAAAAGGAAAAUAAUUGAUCAUAACUGUGUUGGAUAUUUCAUUAAGCAAUAUUGUUUGAUUUAAGCAAAGUCAUGUUAAUGAUGCCUCAUGAUAUGUGACAGAAUCAGCUUUGUAUGAAUAAUAAAGAUUUCUUUUCAAAA